rnacentral:rRNA from 1 species
UACAGAGGGUGCAAGCGUUAAUCGGAAUUACUGGGCGUAAAGCGCGCGUAGGUGGUUUGUUAAGUUGGAUGUGAAAGCCCCGGGCUCAACCUGGGAACUGCAUUCAAAACUGACAAGCUAGAGUAUGGUAGAGGGUGGUGGAAUUUCCUGUGUAGCGGUGAAAUGCGUAGAUAUAGGAAGGAACACCAGUGGCGAAGGCGACCACCUGGACUGAUACUGACACUGAGGUGCGGAAAGCGUGGGGAGCAAACAG